rnacentral:snRNA from 1 species
CUUUUCGCACAUGCGCAGUUGUUUGAAGCCUGUGCUGGUUUAUCCGAGGCGUGGUUAUUGCUAGUUGAAAACUAUACCCAAUACCCCGUGCUGACGUCGUGAAAUACCGACGGUAGCACAAUUUUUGAACGCCUCUACGGGGG